CAAGUCGAGCGAACAGAUAAGGAGCUUGCUCCUUUGACGUUAGCGGCGGACGGGUGAGUAACACGUGGGUAACCUACCUAUAAGACUGGGAUAACUUCGGGAAACCGGAGCUAAUACCGGAUAACAUUUGGAACCGCAUGGUUCAAAAGUGAAAGACGGUCUUGCUGUCACUUAUAGAUGGAUCCGCGCUGCAUUAGCUAGUUGAUAAGGUAACGGCUUACCAAGGCAACGAUGCAUAGCCGACCUGAGAGGGUGAUCGGCCACACUGGAACCGAGACACGGUCGCGACUCCUACGGAGAGGCAGCAGUAGGGAAUCUUCCGCAAUGGGCGAAAGCCUGACGGAGCAACGCCGCGUGAGUGAUGAAGGUCUUCGGAUCGUAGAACUCUGUUAUUAGGGAAGAACAUAUGUGUAAGUAACUGUGCACAUCUUGACGGUACCUAAUCAGAAAGCCACGGCUAACUACGUGCCAGCAGCCGCGGUAAUACGUAGGUGGCAAGCGUUAUCCGGAAUUAUUGGGCGUAAAGCGCGCGUAGGCGGUUUUUUAAGUCUGAUGUGAAAGCCCACGGCUCAACCGUGGAGGGUCAUUGGAAACUGGAAAACUUGAGUGCAGAAGAGGAAAGUGGAAUUCCAUGUGUAGCGGUGAAAUGCGCAGAGAUAUGGAGGAACACCAGUGGCGAAGGCGACU
rnacentral:rRNA from 1 species